rnacentral:misc_RNA from 1 species
GAUGAAGAACGUAGCGAAAUGCGAUAAGUAAAGUGAAUUGCAGAAUUCAGUGAAUCAUCGAAUCUUUGAACGCACAUUGCGCCCGCCAGUAUUCUGGCGGGCAUGCCUGUUCGAGCGUCAUUUCAACCAUCAAGCCCCAGGCUUGUGUUGGGGACCUGCGGCUGCCGCAGGCCCUGAAAACCAGUGGCGGGCUCGCUGUCACACCGGGCGUAGUAGAUUUUAUCUCGCUCAGGGCGUGCUGCGGGUCCCGGCCGUUAAAAGCCUUUUUUUACCCAAGGUUGACCUCGGAUCAGGUAGGAAGACCCGCUGAACUUAAGCAUAUCAAUAAGCGGAGGA